rnacentral:rRNA from 1 species
CCUACGGGUGGCAGCAGUGGGGAAUAUUGGGCAAUGGGCGCAAGCCUGACCCAGCAACGCCGCGUGAAGGAAGAAGGCUUUCGGGUUGUAAACCUCUUUUCUCAGGGACGAAGCAAGCGACGGUACCUGAGGAAUAAGCCACCGCUAACUACGUGCCAGCAGCCGCGGUAAUACGGAGGUGGCAAGCGUUAUCCGGAUGUACUGGGUGUAAAGGGCGUGUAGGCGGGAAAGCAAGUCAGAUGUGAAAACCAGGGGCUCAACCUGUGGCCUGCAUUUGAAACUGUGUUUCUUGAGUACUGGAGAGGCAGGCGGAAUUCCUAGUGUAGCGGUGAAAUGCGUAGAUAUUAGGAGGAACACCAGUGGCGAAGGCAGUCUGCUGGACAGCAACUGACGCUGAGGCGCGAAAGCGUGGGGAGCGAACAGGAUUAGAUACCCGUGUAGUC